GGUAUUUUGACCGUGCUAAGGUAGCANAAUCAUUUGUUUUUNAAUUGAUAACUGGAAUGAAAGGUUGCUCUUAUUUUAAUUUUUGUAAAACUNAAAUAAUAAAUNAAAGUNAGGGUAAGAAUUCUUUAAUUUUCNAGGGGACGAUAAGACCCNAGAAGCUUAAUAUAGAGUUGUACUUANAGAAAAAGUUGAUUAUUUAUUUUACUGGGGCGGUAGGAGUAAACUUACUAUUUGCUNAAAAAAGAUCUUUAAAAUUAAGANAAUUGGGAUUAGUUACUCUAGGGAUAACAGUGCAAUUUUUUNAGAAAGACCUUAUUGAUGAANAAGUUUGCAACCUCGAUGUUGAAUUAAGAUGUCUAAGUGAGGUAAAAGGUACUAAAGAAAGGUUUGUUCAACCUUUAAAGUCUUACAUGAUCNGAGUUCAAACCGGA
rnacentral:rRNA from 1 species